rnacentral:tRNA from 1 species
AAUAAAGUGUCUGAUUAUAGGUGGAAAACUGUAAAUUUUCUUAUGAGAUUUCUCCUUUAUUA